UACCUGGGGCGAGCCUGAUCAGCCAUGCCGCGUGUGUGAAGAAGGUCUUCGGAUUGUAAAGCACUUUAAGUUGGGAGGAAGGGCAUUAACCUAAUACGUUAGUGUUUUGACGUUACCGACAGAAUAAGCACCGGCUAACUUCGUGCCAGCAGGCGCGGUAAU
rnacentral:rRNA from 1 species